CGAUGGCGGUUCCUCCUCCUGUCUGCAGUGAAUCAGGAGGAUUUUACGACAUCGCAGAGAAAUUUGGGGGUUUUUUUUCACCCAGGGAGCUUCAGGCUUUAGCCAAAGUGAAAAUGUCUCCCUGGUUUUGCGGAACCCAACAAAC
ensembl:snoRNA small nucleolar RNA SNORA79